UACGGAGGGUGCAAACGUUGCUCGGAAUCAUUGGGCGUAAAGCGAACGUAGGCGGCUAUGUAAGUCGGGUGUGAAAGCCCUCGGCUCAACCGAGGAAGUGCAUUCGAAACUGCAUGGCUUGAGUAUCGGAGAGGAUAGCGGAAUUCCCGGUGUAGAGGUGAAAUUCGUAGAUAUCGGGAGGAACACCGGUGGCGAAGGCGGGUCUCUGGGCCGAUAUUGACGCUGAGGAGCGAAAGCGUGGGGAGCAAACAGG
rnacentral:rRNA from 1 species